CCUGUGUCAACUAAGUCAGCGAGACUGACCACCCGAUCCCGUUAGUCGCCUCUUACGACAAGCAUGGGUUACUGAAGAUCAAUUCUAACUCGGCUCUUCACGGGUCGAUGGUCAACGGAAAUAUAAGA